rnacentral:lncRNA from 10 species
GGCAAGGCGGGAGGAGCGCGGACCCAAGAUCGGCUACGCUGCGUCUGCUCAGGCUGCGAGUUCCCGGCUCUGGGGACUCACCUUGCGGAGCUUACCCAGGCGGACUCUCCGCAGCCCCUGAUGGCCGUGUUGAACCAUGAAAGGACCUCAGGAAUGAAACCCACACACAGCAAAGCAACAAAGUGAAAGAAGCGUGGAUUCCUAAUGCAGGAGGCACUGAACCAAUCAAUACCCACUGCCCUCCAGACCUCCACAUGAAAGAAAAAAACUGCUGUCCUGUGAAGAAGACACUCCCCAGAUGCCAGCAACUUGAUAUUGGACUUCCUGCCUUUAGAAACGUGAGAAAUAAAUUUUUUUUCUUUAUAAGUUACCCAGCCUCUGGCAUUCUGUUAUAGCAGCACAGAACAGACUAAGACAGCCACUGAAACCAGAUCUAUGUCCCGGACCACCCUCAUUUGCCUCAAUUUCUCUCUAUAUAUAAUAAGAACAAAUAAUGCAAAUGCUAUCUAUACUUCCCCGUGACUACAGGGAGACUAAGGGAUGAAAUAUAUAAUCACACUUUGAAAAUAUAUAAAUGUUAUCCAACCAUACAUCCAUUGUUUCACAUCAGGCUGGGCCACAUAGCUUCCUCUGUACCCUUUAGUUUCCUGCCCUUAUCUCUAUCACAGGCCAUAUAUCAAAUGCCUAGUAAUUAUCAGUGCAUCUAUAUAUUCCCUAUUCUCCCCAACAAUACAUAAAAGGUUAUUGCAUUGCAUUGAAUUAUAAGACUUGAUUACUGGAAAGUCUAGACAUCACUCAGGGUCAUUGUGGGG